UAAUAGCUUUCUUAUUGAUUUAUAAGGUUUUGGUGUUAUGUGUCUUUUUUUUUUUUUUAAGACAGGAAGAAUGAGUCUUGGAAAAGAGAAGAAAAUCAUUAUGAAAAAUCAGCCCAGGCAUAGAAGUCAAUUCAGACAGAGCUUGGGAGUGCUGCUAAAUAUGAGAUGUAAAGUGGUGAUAUUGGUGGAGGACCAAGGGAGAGCAUUUUCAAGCACCUUCCAUGUGAGAAACUGCUGGAGUCCCUGGUCUCCAGUGAUUCACAGUCUGGUGAUAAAAAACAUGAACGGAAAACACCGAACCUUAAUGAAAUGUGGUGCAGUGAGACAGAGAUGAGAAUGAGAAUCUGCCAAGCACUAGGAAACAAUAUUAAAUGAGCACCUUGAGGAAACUGCAAAGUAGUUUCUCAGGAUUUCCAAUUCCAGGUAUCUUACUUUGGAACUUUUAUAUUACUUUGAUAUCACUUAUAAAAUGCUCCAUUUCUGAAAC
rnacentral:lncRNA from 1 species